rnacentral:rRNA from 1 species
GACGAACGCUGGCGGCGUGCUUAACACACGCAAGUCGAGCGGUAAGGCCCUUUCGGGGGUACACGAGCGGCGAACGGGUGAGUAACACGUGGGUGACCUGCCCUUAGCUCUGGGAUAAGCCUGGGAAACUGGGUCUAAUACCGGAUAUGACUCCAUGACGCAUGUUGUGGGGUGGAAAGCCUUGUGCGGCUAGGGAUGGGCCCGCGGCCUAUCAGCUUGUUGGUGGGGUGAUGGCCACCAAGGCGACGACGGGUAGCCGGCCUGAGAGGGCGACCGGCCACACUGGGACUGAGACACGGCCCAGACUCCUACGGGAGGCAGCAGUGGGGAAUCUUGCGCAAUGGGCGAAAGCCUGACGCAGCGACGCCGCGUGGGGAUGACGGCCUCGGUU